UGCCCGAGAAUCAGUUGUUUGAAUCUGAGCUCCAGCUGUGACACGGGAGAGCUGUCUGAAGAAUGAAGAGACAGCCUGGCUGCACAGAAGUCCGUGUUCACGCCAAGUGUUAAUGUUUAGCAUCAACUAAAGAAAACCUCAGUUCAACCCAGUCAUCAGGGCCAUAUUUCGCUGUGUUCCCACAUGUCUUCAGAAGAUUCCUACAAGCAAACAGACGUGACCAAGACGAGGCGGUGGCCACUGGUUUAAUGAUGGCUAACAAGAUCAUUGAGAGAAGCCGCUCACAGUGUCCAAAGCCUGGAGUUAUGGAAUUUUCUUCCUUAUGGAUGCCUCUUAAGAUGACUGACAUCUUUCUCAGAGUUAAUGUUAAAACUGUUAUGUAGUGACAGCUAAGGGUGAGUGAAUUGAGACUGAAGAAAACUAAAGUGCACAGUGAUAAUGAACAGUGACAUGUCAUUCUAUGAGAUAUUUGAUGUGAGCAUUUCAUAUAGUUAAAGGUGGGGUAUGCGAUUCUGGAGAAAUCAAAUACCAUGACAAAUACCAUGAUAUAGAGCAAACAACAACACAGCAAGUAAUAUAACUAACGUUAGCUAGUUGUGGGUUAGCUUAACUAGGUUGUGGGUUAGCAAACUGUCUCUACAGCUGCUGCUGCAAAGCUAACAGCCAGAGAGGAUGAGACGGUUUCCCAGAGCCAGCAAACCAGCUCCAGACAGCGAUACUCACACCUCCCUUGCUACUACAGCUAACAGCACAACAACAGCAUAUCUUGACAAGCUAGAAAGUACGCUGAAUGUCCGUGGGCAAGUAAUGUAACGUUCCCUGACACACAAAUAAUGGCUGGAAUAGUGUUGUGUGGCUCGGUCCGAGCCACUUUGUUUAUUUCCCUUUUACAGAACCAGGGCUGUGUACAAACACCGGAGUAUUUUUUCAGCGCACACACUGAACGGACAGCUAGCAUACUGUGAGGAGAUAUUCGCUGAAUUUGACAAAAAGACGUGAACUGGAUUAGAAUCGCAUACCCCACCUUCAAAAUCCCAAUCCUUUAAAUUUUUUCAGCAUACUUUCCAUCUUACUGUUAUUGUUG